rnacentral:misc_RNA from 1 species
AAGUCGUAACAAGGUUUCCGUAGGUGAACCUGCGGAAGGAUCAUUAAAAAUUGAGGAAUUUACCGUGUGAAGAGGUUGUGGUGGAGAGGGGGGAUGGUUGAAUGGUUGGUUUGUGAUUGUGAUUGAUGUGUUAAUUUAUGUUACUUUGUAAUUUAUAUUUAACUCGUCUUUUAUUAUAAUUCAAUCUGUCAACGUCAAUCGUCUCAAUCAUUUCAUUCUAAUCUAUCCAAUCAUAUAUACUAUUCGUCAAAUCAUAAAAAUAAUAAUAAUUUGCGGCAAUGGAUCUCUAGGCUCUU